ACUUCCAGUACGCCCCGACAUGUUUCUUGAGACUGUUUCCAAGGUCUUAUCCGGUUUAUAUGUUGGAACUGACUCUGGCAUCACUGCGCAACACCUUGAAUGGGUUCACCGAAAGACACUUCAAGUGCUUCAGGAGAUAGCAUUUGGCUAGUUCACUUUGUAUCCUCUCUUUUAUCCUUAUGUACUGUCAAAAGACUUGAUAGGAUGUUUAUAGCUGUAGGGAUAACAUGGCAGAUUAUAUGAACUAAAGAACGUUUACAAAGUGAAUAAAGUA